rnacentral:rRNA from 1 species
GAUGAACGCUGGCGGCGUGCCUAAUACAUGCAAGUCGAACGAACAGACGAGGAGCUUGCUCCUCUUACGUGAGCGGCGGACGGGUGAGUAACACGUGGAUAACCUACCUAUAAGCCUGGGAUAACUUCGGGAAACGGGAGCUAAUACCGGAUAAUAUAUUGAACCGCAUGGUUCAAUAGUGAAAGACGGUUUUGCUGUACCUUAAAGAUGACUCGCGGCCGCUUAGCUAGGUGGGAAGGUAAAGGCCUACCAAGGCGACGGUACGUAACCGGCCUGAGAGGGUGUUGGCCCACACUGGAACUGGGACACGCUCCGGCCUCCUACGGGGGCCAGCAGAAGGGAUUCUUCCGCAUUGGGCGAAAGCUUGCCGGAGCAACCCCGGUGGAGUGAUGAAGUUCUCCGGACCGUAAACCCCUUUUUUUAGCGAGGACCAAAGUGGGAAUUAACUAUGCACGUUUUGACGGUACCUAAUCAGAAAGCCACGGCUAACUACGUG